UUGAUAAGAAAAGAGUGCAGACGUUAUUUUUGUUAAUAUUAACCUCCAAAGAUAUGACAAGCCACAAUGCUAAAAGUCCGGAUGUAGUCGGAUGAGAACAUGUAACCGCAGUUGUUAUUUGUGUAAAUGUUAUCACAUAUUUUUAAAACUAUAAGGUCUUGUUUUUGCAAAACACAUUCAAACAUUUGAUCACGUUCAUGCUGUGUGAAUUUCGCCUAUAAAUACUGAAACAGACGAGCAUAUACCGUAGUCGACAUCUGACAGUUUCUACAGUAUAGUUGCAGUGUUCAGUGGAAAAUAUUCAAUUAAGAUAUUCCUAGCGUUCAGACGUGUGCUCUGUGGAUGCUUUUUCCUCUGCGAUACAACCGAUCGUCUGUCACACUGAAAAGUGGGUUACUAAAAAGUUGUAGUGAGUUGUCGUUUGUCCUACAUGAUUAAACAUCUUUAAAAGAUGUUCAGUUAAGACCAUUAAAAGAUAUCUGAUAUAUAGCCCACUGGCAAAAUUAAUGAGCCGUUCUGGUUAACUCUAGAACCGUUGCUCGUGUAGCCGCUCAUUAUAAAAGAUGGCAAUCAGAUCAUAAAAAGAUGUCUGCUGAACCAUUUCCUGUAUGUUUAAAAAAGAUGUUCAGUUAAGGUCACUAAAAGAUAUUCGUUAUAAAAAUGUACUAUAAAUAAUGUUAAUAAAAAGAUACCUGCUGAACCAUUUCCGGUAUUUUAAAAUACAAUAAACAGUUUUCGGCUAUGAACCACUUUGUGAUUUUGUAACAUCAUUACAGCUUUGCUCGUUACUUACUAGAAGGUGGGGCAACAAUCGCUUGUUCUAUGCUAUCACAAAUAUAUAUAUAUAUUGAAUCACAUUUGAUUCCUCUGAGGAAAUUUGGUGGUUGUAGGCCUCUAGGGGAUGGUGUCCACGAUAAAACA